rnacentral:misc_RNA from 1 species
ACUCACGUAGAGUACUGAAUUAGGAGCCUGGGUGUCUAGCCAGGAAAUGCAGUUUCGGUCUUGUGUUACUAAACUACUAGAAGAAGCUGGAAAGUGCUUAUGAAAUGGACCUAUGAGAAACAUGGGAACAACAAAGUCGUUGGCUAAUGUGGUCAGUGCAUCUCGCUCAAGUUCUUCAAAUGAAUUCCAUAUAAUCCCUGAACAGGCUUUUGCUUGCUUAGCCAUCUUGUUUAUUGUUUCUUGAAGAACCUCUGGUUUGCUUGUUUUGAUCACUGGAAUAUCUUUCACUUUUAAUGGUUGGAGCUCGUGCACUGGCUCCUCCAAUCGACAAGCUUGGAGAGGAGAAAAAUGCAAGUAGUUACAAAAAUGUUAGAAAUGUGUAAUUGCCUAUUAAAAAAUAAAAAAUUUCUCCUGGGAAAUGCCUAAAAUCCUAUAUAAAUUAGAAAAGCAAAAAGGCAAUCAAAAACUACUUUGAUUCACCUUGAAUUGGGAGGUAGCCCUUGUCCAGCAGGAGUUGCAAGGCAGCAAAUGCAAGAAAAGAGCAGAUACUGUUGGUCCUGAGAACAAUUGUUGGGAGCUUAAGGCCUUUAGCUACCUCUUCAGUGAACCACAAGACAACAUCUGAGAUUAAGCAAGAAAUAGGCUCAUCCAAAGCAUCUAAUAACAACUUAGCCAAGCAAUUCCUGAAAGGCUCAACACAUUUCACAUUGAGGUUUGAAAUAAGUAGCAUCAAAUCUUCUGUUGAGGCUUCACAUUCCAAUAAGCCAUCUGGGAUUGAAUGAAAAGUGAAGUAUGGGUAGUUUGAUGGGUUGAGAGGGUUGAAAUUAGUGUGGAUGAUGGUGAUGGAAAAGCCUUUAGAGUAGAGGAUAUUGGCAAGUUGAAUCAUAGGAUUUAUGUGACCUUGCAAAGGCAAUGGGAAGAGUAUUAAUCUGUGACCCUUCUUUAGCUGCAUAUGCGAUUCUCUUAUGUUCUCCAUGCAGUUUGCUGAAUGAAAACUCAAUUAAGCACCGUUAACAACUAUACCAAUAGGGUAAAAAUGGCAAAAACAGGGAACCAUUGGCAGAAACACUAAGGUAUACAAUUAGCAGAAGUGAACCGUUCGUAAAUCAAAGUAACCAGUCACGACAUCUAACUUACUGGAAGGCUGUUGUCCUAUGGUACUCUGCAGGCGUAAAGCUAAAUGUGUGGACGGAGAAGGGUGUUAUUUUCUUGUGAUUAUCAGUAUUACUAUCUGGAAGUUGCAUGAAUAUAGUCUUUA